rnacentral:tRNA from 1 species
CGGAAUGGAGCCAAAUUGGUGAGGUGCUGUGCCUGGGCCACAGAGAUACAAAGUUCGAAACUUUGCAUUCCGA